rfam:Felis catus isolate Cinnamon breed Abyssinian chromosome C1, whole genome shotgun sequence.
GCCUGGGUGGCUCAGUCGGUUAAGCGUCUGACUUCGGCUCAGGUCAUGAUCUCGCGGUUCGUGAGUUCAAGCCCCGCGUCGGGCU